rnacentral:rRNA from 1 species
UACGAAGGGGGCUAGCGUUGCUCGGAAUUACUGGGCGUAAAGCGCACGUAGGCGGCUUUCUAAGUCAGGGGUGAAAUCCUGGAGCUCAACUCCAGAACUGCCUUUGAGACUGAGUGGCUUGAGUUCGGGAGAGGUGAGUGGAAUGCCGAGUGUAGAGGUGAAAUUCGUAGAUAUUCGGCGGAACACCAGUGGCGAAGGCGACUCACUGGCCCGAUACUGACGCUGAGGCGCGAAAGCGUGGGGAGCAAACAGG